rnacentral:rRNA from 1 species
CCUACGGGAGGCAGCAGUGAGGAAUAUUGGUCAAUGGACGAGAGUCUGAACCAGCCAAGUAGCGUGAAGGAUGACGGCCCUAUGGGUGGUAAACUUCUUUUAUAUGGGAAUAAAAUGUUCCACGUGUGGGAUUUUGUAUGUACCAUAUGAAUAAGGAUCGGCUAACUCCGUGCCAGCAGCCGCGGUAAUACGGAGGAUCCGAGCGUUAUCCGGAUUUAUUGGGGUUAAAGGGAGCGUAGGUGGAUUGUUAAGUCAGUUGUGAAAGUUUGCGGCUCAACCGUAGAAUUGCAGUUGAAACUGGCAGUCUCGAGUACAGUAGAGGUAGGCGGAAUUCGUGGUGUAGCGGUGAAAUGCAUAGAUAUCACGAAGAACUCCGAUUGCGAAGGCAGCUCACUGGACUGCAACUGACGCUGAGGCUCGAAAGUGUGGGUAUCAAACAGGAUUAGAUACCCGAGUAGUC